GACGAACGCUGGCGGCGUGCUUAACACAUGCAAGUCGAACGGAAAGGCCCUGCUUUUGUGGGGUGCUCGAGUGGCGAACGGGUGAGUAACACGUGAGUAACCUGCCCUUGACUUUGGGAUAACUUCAGGAAACUUGGGCUAAUACCUGAUAGGAGCUCCUGCUGCAUGGUGGGGGUUGGAAAGUUUCGGCGGUUGGGGAUGGACUCGCGGCUUAUCAGCUUGUUGGUGUGGUAGUGGCUUACCAAGGCUUUGACGGGUAGCCGGCCUGAGAGGGUGACCGGCAACAUUGGGACUGAGAUACGGACCAGACUCCUACGGGAGGCAGCAGUGGGGAAUAUUGCACAAUGGGCGGAAGCCUGAUGCAGCAACGCCGCGUGCGGGAUGACGGCCUUCGGGUUGUAAACCGCUUUCGCCUGUGACGAAGCGUGAGUGACGGUAAUGGGUAAAGAAGCACCGGCUAACUACGUG
rnacentral:rRNA from 1 species